UACAAGAUCUGUUACAAAAGGGGCGUGGGUAAUGGAGCCGCAGAUGCUUUGUCUCGCAAGGAACAUGAUCUUGUCUUGCACCUUUGUAACAUCCCAAAAUUUCAAACCUUUACAUGUGCAUCGCAUCCAUGAGCAUCAUGCCACAAUUGCAUGUUUAAAUUCAAAUUUGAAUCACAAAAAGGCUUUAAAAGAUUUUGUUUACACCUAUUUGAGCUUUGGAUCUUCAAACCAUUAAGAUUUAUAUAUAAAAAUGGUUUAUUGCACCUAUGAGCUAUCCCAUAAUUCUUGGAUAAUUAUUUGGUGUUGAAAAAAAAAAUAUUUUACUUAAAUAGAUAUAUGGCCCUAAAGGCAUUUAUAGGGCAAAUGUAUUUUUUAUAUAUUUUAUUUUGAAGAGAAACUACUUCCAAAAGUUGUAUCAUGGUAGAAUAUGAUUUUAGAAAUUUUCUGGGAUUUAUUUGGAGCAAAUUGGAGUUCAAAUUCAAAAGAUAUCAAAGAAAUGAGAAAAACAGAAAAAGAAAAGGUCUAAAAGAAAAAAAAGGGGUAAACCGGACCGGCCCGGCCAUUUU
rnacentral:lncRNA from 1 species